rnacentral:rRNA from 1 species
GGGUUGUGAGGUUAAGCGACUAAGCGUACACGGUGGAUGCCCUGGCAGUCAGAGGCGAUGAAGGACGUGCUAAUCUGCGAUAAGCGUCGGUGAGGUGAUAUGAACCGUUAUAACCGGCGAUUUCCGAAUGGGGAAACCCAGUGUGUUUCGACACACUAUCAUUAACUGAAUCCAUAGGUUAAUGAGGCGAACCGGGGGAACUGAAACAUCUAAGUACCCCGAGGAAAAGAAAUCAACCGAGAUUCCCCCAGUAGCGGCGAGCGAACGGGGAGGAGCCCAGAGCCUGAAUCAGUGUGUGUGUUAGUGGAAGCGUCUGGAAAGGCGUGCGAUACAGGGUGACAGCCCCGUACACAAAAAUGCACAUAUUGUGAGCUCGAUGAGUAGGGCGGGACACGUGGUAUCCUGUCUGAAUAUGGGGGGACCAUCCUCCAAGGCUAAAUACUCCUGACUGACCGAUAGUGAACCAGUACCGUGAGGGAAAGGCGAAAAGAACCCCGGCGAGGGGAGUGAAAAAGAACCUGAAACCGUGUACGUACAAGCAGUGGGAGCCUCUUAAUGGGGUGACUGCGUACCUUUUGUAUAAUGGGUCAGCGACUUAUAUUCUGUAGCAAGGUUAACCGAAUAGGGGAGCCGAAGGGAAACCGAGUCUUAACUGGGCGUUAAGUUGCAGGGUAUAGACCCGAAACCCGGUGAUCUAGCCAUGGGCAGGUUGAAGGUUGGGUAACACUAACUGGAGGACCGAACCGACUAAUGUUGAAAAAUUAGCGGAUGACUUGUGGCUGGGGGUGAAAGGCCAAUCAAACCGGGAGAUAGCUGGUUCUCCCCGAAAGCUAUUUAGGUAGCGCCUCGUGAAUUCAUCUCCGGGGGUAGAGCACUGUUUCGGCAAGGGGGUCAUCCCGACUUACCAACCCGAUGCAAACUGCGAAUACCGGAGAAUGUUAUCACGGGAGACACACGGCGGGUGCUAACGUCCGUCGUGAAGAGGGAAACAACCCAGACCGCCAGCUAAGGUCCCAAAGUCAUGGUUAAGUGGGAAACGAUGUGGGAAGGCCCAGACAGCCAGGAUGUUGGCUUAGAAGCAGCCAUCAUUUAAAGAAAGCGUAAUAGCUCACUGGUCGAGUCGGCCUGCGCGGAAGAUGUAACGGGGCUAAACCAUGCACCGAAGCUGCGGCAGCGACACUAUGUGUUGUUGGGUAGGGGAGCGUUCUGUAAGCCUGUGAAGGUGGCCUGUGAGGGUUGCUGGAGGUAUCAGAAGUGCGAAUGCUGACAUAAGUAACGAUAAAGCGGGUGAAAAGCCCGCUCGCCGGAAGACCAAGGGUUCCUGUCCAACGUUAAUCGGGGCAGGGUGAGUCGACCCCUAAGGCGAGGCCGAAAGGCGUAGUCGAUGGGAAACAGGUUAAUAUUCCUGUACUUGGUGUUACUGCGAAGGGGGGACGGAGAAGGCUAUGUUGGCCGGGCGACGGUUGUCCCGGUUUAAGCGUGUAGGCUGGUUUUCCAGGCAAAUCCGGAAAACCAAGGCUGAGGCGUGAUGACGAGGCACUACGGUGCUGAAGUNNNNNNNNNNNNNNNNNNNNNNNNNNNNNNNNNNNNNNNNNNNNNNNNNNNNNNNNNNNNNNNNNNNNNNNNNNNNNNNNNNNNNNNNNNNNNNNNNNCGACAAAUGCCCUGCUUCCAGGAAAAGCCUCUAAGCAUCAGGUAACAUCAAAUCGUACCCCAAACCGACACAGGUGGUCAGGUAGAGAAUACCAAGGCGCUUGAGAGAACUCGGGUGAAGGAACUAGGCAAAAUGGUGCCGUAACUUCGGGAGAAGGCACGCUGAUAUGUAGGUGAAGCGACUUGCUCGUGGAGCUGAAAUCAGUCGAAGAUACCAGCUGGCUGCAACUGUUUAUUAAAAACACAGCACUGUGCAAACACGAAAGUGGACGUAUACGGUGUGACGCCUGCCCGGUGCCGGAAGGUUAAUUGAUGGGGUUAGCGGUAACGCGAAGCUCUUGAUCGAAGCCCCGGUAAACGGCGGCCGUAACUAUAACGGUCCUAAGGUAGCGAAAUUCCUUGUCGGGUAAGUUCCGACCUGCACGAAUGGCGUAAUGAUGGCCAGGCUGUCUCCACCCGAGACUCAGUGAAAUUGAACUCGCUGUGAAGAUGCAGUGUACCCGCGGCAAGACGGAAAGACCCCGUGAACCUUUACUAUAGCUUGACACUGAACAUUGAGCCUUGAUGUGUAGGAUAGGUGGGAGGCUUUGAAGUGUGGACGCCAGUCUGCAUGGAGCCGACCUUGAAAUACCACCCUUUAAUGUUUGAUGUUCUAACGUUGGCCCGUAAUCCGGGUUGCGGACAGUGUCUGGUGGGUAGUUUGACUGGGGCGGUCUCCUCCUAAAGAGUAACGGAGGAGCACGAAGGUUGGCUAAUCCUGGUCGGACAUCAGGAGGUUAGUGCAAUGGCAUAAGCCAGCUUGACUGCGAGCGUGACGGCGCGAGCAGGUGCGAAAGCAGGUCAUAGUGAUCCGGUGGUUCUGAAUGGAAGGGCCAUCGCUCAACGGAUAAAAGGUACUCCGGGGAUAACAGGCUGAUACCGCCCAAGAGUUCAUAUCGACGGCGGUGUUUGGCACCUCGAUGUCGGCUCAUCACAUCCUGGGGCUGAAGUAGGUCCCAAGGGUAUGGCUGUUCGCCAUUUAAAGUGGUACGCGAGCUGGGUUUAGAACGUCGUGAGACAGUUCGGUCCCUAUCUGCCGUGGGCGCUGGAGAACUGAGGGGGGCUGCUCCUAGUACGAGAGGACCGGAGUGGACGCAUCACUGGUGUUCGGGUUGUCAUGCCAAUGGCACUGCCCGGUAGCUAAAUGCGGAAGAGAUAAGUGCUGAAAGCAUCUAAGCACGAAACUUGCCCCGAGAUGAGUUCUCCCUGACUCCUUGAG